rfam:Vibrio sp. JCM 19231 DNA, contig00023.
CAUUGUACGGAUACAUUAGUUACUAGGAUGGUAGCUAGCAAAGGAUCGCAAUGGACACCUCUAGGAUAGAGGAAAGGAACAACAUCAGGAUGAUGUAAAGGAUACCGCUCAAGGAUAUGAGUGAGCAGCACCAAAAAGGACAUUGGUCAGCCGGGAUAAGGCGUUGGACACCGCUAGGAAGGCGAGAAAGGAAUAAGCUUAGGAUAAGCAGGCUAUCAAGGAUUAGAUGCAAGGAGCACUUUUUAGUAGCCGGAUUGCUGCGAGUAAGACUAUAACCGUCGGGCUUUCGCCCUUCGGGGUUUUUCUUUAU